ACGAACGCUGGCGGCGUGCUUCACACAUGCAAGUCGCGCGAGGCCCCUCCUUCGGGAGGGUGUCCUAGCGGCGAACGGGUGAGUAACACGUGGGCAACCUGCCCUCAGCUCUGGGAUAACUCCGGGAAACCGGGGCUAAUACCGGAUACGACCUCCACGGGCAUCUGCGGAGGUGGAAAGUUUUUCGGCUGAGGAUGGGCCCGCGGCCUAUCAGCUAGUUGGUGGGGUAGUGGCCCACCAAGGCGACGACGGGUAGCCGGCCUGAGAGGGCGACCGGCCACACUGGGACUGAGACACGGCCCAGACUCCUACGGGAGGCAGCAGUGGGGAAUAUUGCGCAAUGGGCGAAAGCCUGACGCAGCGACGCCGCGUGAGGGACGAAGGCCUUCGGGUUGUAAACCUCUUUCAGCAGGGACGAAGCGAAAGUGACGGUACCUGCAGAAGAAGCACCGGCCAACUACGUG
rnacentral:rRNA from 1 species